rnacentral:rRNA from 1 species
GACGAACGCUGGCGGCGUGCUUAACACAUGCAAGUCGAGCGGUAAGGCCCUUUCGGGGGUACACGAGCGGCGAACGGGUGAGUAACACGUGGGUGACCUGCCCUCAGCUCUGGGAUAAGCCUGGGAAACCGGGUCUAAUACUGGAUAUGACUCCAUGACGCAUGUUGUGGGGUGGAAAGCCUUGUGCGGCUGAGGAUGGGCCCGCGGCCUAUCAGCUUGUUGGUGGGGUGAUGGCCUACCAAGGCUUCGAUCUGUAGCCGGCCUGAGAGGGCGGUCGGCCACACUGACACUUAAAUACGGGUCAG